UGGGUUUGGGGGGUGGUAAACUUCGGGUUGUUUUUUCUUUGGGGGGGGGGACUCGGAGGGAUCAUUACCGAGUUUACAACUCCCAAACCCAAUGUGAACGUUACCAAACUGUUGCCUCGGCGGGAUCUCUGCCCCGGGUGCGUCGCAGCCCCGGACCAAGGCGCCCGCCGGAGGACCAACCUAAAACUCUUAUUGUAUACCCCCUCGCGGGUUUUUUUAUAAUCUGAGCCUUCUCGGCGCCUCUCGUAGGCGUUUCGAAAAUGAAUCAAAACUUUCAACAACGGAUCUCUUGGUUCUGGCAUCGAUGAAGAACGCAGCGAAAUGCGAUAAGUAAUGUGAAUUGCAGAAUUCAGUGAAUCAUCGAAUCUUUGAACGCACAUUGCGCCCGCCAGUAUUCUGGCGGGCAUGCCUGUCCGAGCGUCAUUUCAACCCUCGAACCCCUCCGGGGGGUCGGCGUUGGGGAUCGGCCCUCCCUUAGCGGGUGGCCGUCUCCGAAAUACAGUGGCGGUCUCGCCGCAGCCUCUCCUGCGCAGUAGUUUGCACACUCGCAUCGGGAGCGCGGCGCGUCCACAGCCGUUAAACACCCAACUUCUGAAAUGUGACCUCGGAUCAGGUAGGAACCCCAGUC
rnacentral:rRNA from 1 species